AUUCACUGGACCCAGAUUGCUGGAAACGGAAUCAAACUCCAAAAGUCUUGUCAGCAGAAUGGAUCCAUCUCUUUGGAUCACGGCCAAGCGGCUUUAGCCCAAGCGGCAAUGAACUGCACGCAGCUCCAGUUGGUCCUCACGGACGUCCUGAAGACGGAACAGGGGCAGGCCUACCUAGACAGGAAGCUGCGUGGCAAGAUGACAGGAACUGGAGAGAGGAAAAGAGAGUCACCGAUGGGGAGCGGGCAAAGGAGGGUGUCUCAGAGUAGCAGAGAGGGGAGGGAGGAUUGUAGAGAUUUUAUAGCACACAGAAAGAGACCCCAUGACCACCCCACUCCCACCUCGACCCCGACCCGCAAGGAGAGGAGGUCACACCACAGAGGGGGGUCAGAGGAAGACGAGGAGGUGAAGGAACUUUUAAUAGGAGAGGAAAACAUCAAAGACCAGAGAUGCAGUGAGUCCGCCAUCACACACACACACACACACUCCCCCUGCUACUGCGUUCCCUAUCUCCCCCUUUCUGAGGGUUUUCCUUAUUGGAAAGGAUCUAUAAUAUUCCUGUCCUCAAUCCUGCUGUAAAGUAACAAACUCUUUUACCUUUAUAGAGCAAAAACAAAGACCUGCUGAAUGUGCUUUUCAUCUCUUGCUAACACACACAGGCAAAGUUGAUUUAAUUCUAUGUUACGGUCAUUUGUUUUCCCAUAUCUGCUGCACUACUUUCUGGAGAGUAGUAACACGUUUAUUGUUUCACCGUCUCUCUCCUCUGCAGACAGUAGUGUGUCAGGGAGGCACAGUUCACGGGAACCCCUGGAGGAGGUGACCUUUACUGAGGGGGACAUGCACCAGGAAAAGCCUUACCCACAAUCCACCAGGACUAGGAAGGCAGAUUCAGGUUCAAGCGAAUCCACACAUGUUGAGAGGGAGAGUUGGAGGAGGGAGUCUGGGCUCUACAGUAAUGGACAGGUGAAUGAUGGAGUGGCAGAGGGCUUGACCACAGACGCCUCCAGGAGCUCCAGAGGGAGCAUGCUGCACCUCUCCAGGGAGGCCAGAGGCGGGGGAGGACUACCCCCCAAACAGCUGUGUCUGGGGGGGACGGGGGGCAUAGACACUAAUGUAGCAUCCAUAGAAGUAGAGGUGGACCCCUCAAACUUUGACGGGACCCCGAUGGUAGUCACUGUGGGGGAAGACAGGGAAGUUGCCAUCUCCUCUAACCCCAGCUGUGGAGGGGUUAAUGAGAGGAGAGGAACCCUGUCCUCCAGCCAGGAUAGGAUGCCCAAACUCAGUCCUGUUGAACCCAUCGUUCUCUCCAGUGAUGAGGAGGUAGUCACCCCGUCCCACAGUUCAGUCCUUUGGCCACAGACUAGUGAGUGUGAGUCCCAGAGAAACCAUGCUCAGGAAGACAACGUGGUGGAAGAGACAGACUUUCAGGUGAUGCCUGUGGUGGUGACAGGGUUUGGGGUGGCCAGGUUCCCCAGCACUGAGGACUCUGAGGGUAUGGUCCUACCCUUCUCUGCCCUGCACUGUGGGGGGGUCCGAGGGGAGUCCAGCGGAAACCUCAUGGUAAGGUUCUGUUCAAAUCAAAUGUAUUUAUAUAGCCCUUCGUACAUCAGCUGAUAUCUCAAAGUGCUGUACAGAAACCCAGCCUAAAACCCCAAACAGCAAGCAAUGCAGGUGUAGAAGCAUGGUGGCUAGGAAAAACUCCCUAGAAAGGCCAAAACCUAGGAAGAAACGUAGAGAGGAACCAGGCUAUGUGGGGUGGCCAGUCCUCUUCUGGCUGUGCCGGGUGGAGAUUAUAACAGAACAUGGCCAAGAUGUUCAAAUGUUCAUAAAUGACCAGCAUGGUCGAAUAAUAAUAAGGCAGAACAGUUGAAACUGGAGCAGCAGCACGGCCAGGUGGACUGGGGACAGCAAGGAGUCAUCAUGUCAGGUAGUCCUGGGGCAUGGUCCUAGGGCUCAGGUCCUCCGAGAGCGAGAAAGAAGGAGAGAAUUAGAGAACGCACACUUAGAUUCACACAGGACACCGAAUAGGACAGGAGAAGUACUCCAGAUAUAACAAACUGACCCUAGCCCCCCGACACAUAAACUACUGCAGCAUAAAUACUGGAGGCUGAGACAGGAGGGGUCAGGAGACACUGUGGCCCCAUCCGAGGACACUGCUCCAACUGGAGAAUGGGUGCAGUACAUUCUAGAAUAGGCAUGCAAUACAGUGGUUAUGUGACAUGGGGCCCUUUCUUUCGUCCUUUGCAGAUCACAAACCACAGAAUCAUCAUACCAAUUAAAGGUAACCAGCACCCCUGGACUUUGCUUGUGUUCUCACCACACCAUUGACCAUACAGUCCUGGUCCUCUAUUUAAACUUGAAUCAUUAAUCGUUUUCAAUUAUUACUUGGUCCAACCUGAACAUGACCGCGUGCGGUCGCUAGCCCAUCUGUGCCCUGUCUGUGACCCAGGGCAGGCGGUGGUGUGGGGUGGUGGCCUAGAUUGUUGACCCCUCUCUCCCCUCUGUCGCCUGCCC
ensembl:lncRNA